ACUUUUCUUGGUUACUCGAGCAGCUUCUUCCUUCCCCGCAUUUUUUGCGUUCUAUAUAUACAACGCAUGUCUUCACGCAAUUAUACGGAGAAAAAAUCUUCUCCACUCGCCCCGCAACAGUGGGCUGGAGCAGCCUCACGUUGUUGCUUGACCGCGCCUCGACGAGUAGGGGAAAAAUUGGCUGCCGCAUGUAGGCCAACAUCUAUGCAGCACCCUUCGGAUGGAUGACACGUGUACGCUCAUAAAUCUCCACGAAACAUAAUGAAGAGCAUUUAUCUAGGCUUGUCUUUUCCUCUGGCUCGACUUACGGACGCCGGCUCUCUUUUUCUCAUCUGCGCGCAAGUUGUUUGAUCAAAUGCUCGAGAGAAAUUUGGAGUGCUGAUGGUGAUGAUACGGGAGGACGGAUGCAACCUGUCGCCGACCAAGGGAGAGAAGCAAGCCCGAAUUGUCUUCCCAUGUCCUCUUCUCCUACCAUGUCCUUGUGCCUUCUUCCUACCAUGGGAAGAGAUGGAUCGUGGCGAAGCGACGCAAGACAGCAGGAGAGUCAAUGAUCGGCGGCGGCGGCGACAGUACGUGAUUCACGAUUAUAGAUGAGAAAAAAAGAGUCAGCGUCUGUAGCGUCCGUUAGCCGAGCACCCGAGCCAGAGCAAAAUAAUCGGUCGUUUUGAGCCAAGAUGAAGGCUCCAUGUUUUGUUUCUUGGAGAUUUG